GGUUAAGCGACUAAGCGUACACGGUGGAUGCCCUGGCAGUCAGAGGCGAUGAAGGACGUGCUAAUCUGCGAUAAGCGCCGGUAAGGUGAUAUGAACCGUUAUAACCGGCGAUUUCCGAAUGGGGAAACCCAGUGUGAUUCGUCACACUAUCAUUAACUGAAUCCAUAGGUUAAUGAGGCGAACCGGGGGAACUGAAACAUCUAAGUACCCCGAGGAAAAGAAAUCAACCGAGAUUCCCCCAGUAGCGGCGAGCGAACGGGGAGGAGCCCAGAGCCUGAAUCAGCAUGUGUGUUAGUGGAAGCGUCUGGAAAGGUGCGCGAUACAGGGUGACAGCCCCGUACACAAAAGCGCAUGUGCUGUGAGCUCGAUGAGUAGGGCGGGACACGUGGUAUCCUGUCUGAAUAUGGGGGGACCAUCCUCCAAGGCUAAAUACUCCUGACUGACCGAUAGUGAACCAGUACCGUGAGGGAAAGGCGAAAAGAACCCCGGCGAGGGGAGUGAAAAAGAACCUGAAACCGUGUACGUACAAGCAGUGGGAGCACAGGUUUACCUGUGUGACUGCGUACCUUUUGUAUAAUGGGUCAGCGACUUAUAUUCUGUAGCAAGGUUAACCG
rnacentral:rRNA from 2 species